UACGGAGGGUGCAAACGUUGCUCGGAAUCAUUGGGCGUAAAGCGCACGUAGGCGGCCUGUUAAGUCGGAUGUGAAAGCCCCGGGCUCAACCCGGGAAGUGCAUUCGAAACUGGCGGGCUUGAAUAUGGAAGAGGGUCGCGGAAUUCCCGGUGUAGAGGUGAAAUUCGUAGAUAUCGGGAGGAACACCAGUGGCGAAGGCGCCUAUCUGGCUGACAACUGACGCUGAGACUCGAAAGCAUGGGGAGCAAACAGG
rnacentral:rRNA from 1 species